AACCCCUCCACACCCCUAACCCCUAGCUCCUAAACCCUAGCUCCUAACCCCUAGCUCCUAAUCCUUAGUCCUUAACACCACCACAACCCUAAACCCUAGCUCCUAGCUCCUAACCCCUAGUCCUUAACACCUCCACACCCUAACCCCUAGCUCCUAACCCCUAGCUCCUAACCCCUAGUCCUUAACACCUCCAUAGCCCUAACUCCUAGCUCCUAACCCUAGCUCCUAACCCCUAGCUCCUAAUCCUUAGUCCUUAACACCACCACAACCCUAAACCCUAGCUCCUAGCUCCUAACCCCUAGGUCCAUUGCCACUUGUACAGAUCUGAAAGGAUUUUCUAGGUCCAAGAAUGUUGCUUAUCAGAGGGCAAGGUGAAGCAGCAUCUCAUUUGCUGUUACCUAUCCAUACCUUUUAGAUCUGACUCCUUGAACCCUGCUGUGGACUGAACUUCUGGGACUCGUUUAGCCCUAGCUCCUAACCCCUAGGCCCUAGGUCCUUUUAGAUCUGACACCUUGAACCCUGCUGUGGACUGACUUGUGGGACUCGUUUUAAUGUCCGUGUUAUUGAUCUGUUGGUUAACUCAUUACGUUCCCCUUGAUGCUCUGUUUCCGGUUCUAUAUGUGAAGCAUGACUUUGUAAAUAUGAUGUUCAGAUCCUGUUUUGUGACGCUCGUUGUGUACAAUAUAAAUGUCCCUUUUUUUUGUAAAUGUUUUGUAAAUGGUCACUGUUACAGAGCCUAUUUCUAUUUAAUUUGACAAAUUAAAAUCUAACGGGUAAGCAUUGUUUAAUAAUAUGAUCCAAUUAUUGUCUCAUGGAAGACUGCUCUCCUUCUCCCCAUUAUCCAUCCAUCCAUCAUCCAUCCAUCCAUUAUCCAUCAUAAUAAUAUAAUCCAAUUAUUGUCUCAUGGAGGACUGCUCUCCUCCACAUUGAUCAUCCAUCCAGCAUUCAUCCAUCAUUCAUCAUCCAUCCAGCAUCCAUCAUUCAUCAUCCAGCAUCCAUCCAUCAUCCUUCCAUGCACUGCUCUGUCUUGACCUUUAAAAGGUCAUUAUUACUGACCAGUCAAACUAAAUGGGGAUAGUGGGGAAAAGCCUGUCCAUUAAAAAAAGCUAACUUGUU